rnacentral:rRNA from 1 species
UACGUAGGGGGCGAGCGUUGUCCGGAAUUAUUGGGCGUAAAGAGCUCGUAGGCGGCUCGUCGCGUCGACCGUGAAAACCCGCGGCUUAACUGCGGGCUUGCGGUUGAUACGGGCGGGCUAGAGUUCGGUAGGGGAGACUGGAAUUCCUGGUGUAGCGGUGAAAUGCGCAGAUAUCUGGAGGAAUACCGGUGGCGAAGGCGGCAUCCUGGACCGGCAUUGACGCUGAGGAGCGAAAGCCAGGGGAGCAAACGGG